UACGUAGGUGGCAAGCGUUAUCCGGAAUUACUGGGCGUAAAGCGUGCGCAGGCGGUUUUGUAAGACAGAUGUGAAAUCCCCGGGCUCAACCUGGGACCUGCAUUUGUGACUGCAAGGCUAGAGUACGGUAGAGGGGGAUGGAAUUCCGCGUGUAGCAGUGAAAUGCGUAGAUAUGCGGAGGAACACCGAUGGCGAAGGCAAUCCCCUGGACCUGUACUGACGCUCAUGCACGAAAGCGUGGGGAGCAAACAGG
rnacentral:rRNA from 1 species